AUGAAAAGCUGGCGGCUCUUCAGGCUCAGGCUUCCCUCUACGAAGAACAGGGUUUCUCCUGCGGGGGGCGUGGUGGAGCCAUGCCUCAGCCACAGGUGGUGCCGGGGACUGGUGCACCUGCAGACUAUUGUAAUCAAGCCACCUAUUUAUGGACUGUUCUCACGGUUGGCCAGCGUUGGCGUGUUUUGUCGUUUUCGGAAAACCCCAGCUGUACCCUCCUGGACUUUCGUGAGACUGUUUCCUUCGUGGAUUACUUUUUGAACCCGUUAUCGGAUUAUUGUUUUUUCUUAAUCCUUCAUGGACUGCUUUUUGUCGUAAGUUUACAUUCCCUGUUUUGAUUAAGCACCGAGUCGUGGUCUCCACGCCUUUUUUGAGUUCUAUAAACUUUAAUAAAGCUUCUGGGAACGAUACGCCACUGUGUCCUGCCUGCUUUCGGGUCCUGAUACAACCACUCGUAACAGGAUCAAGUGUCGUAGUGUCUUAAAAGCCAGGGUGAAAAGGGGUUUUAAGAUGGCUUUUUAAAAGGUUUAGGGAAGGAGCCUCGUGUCUAAUGUCCAAUGGCAGACUGUUCCAUAAUUUAGGAGCAACCAUGGGAAAGACUCUCCCGUGUGUAGCAGUGUAGUAGGACUCAUCCAACGCAGUUGUGAGGCUCUAAAGUAUGAAUGUGUUGAUCCUUUGUUCUUUAGACUGAUUGCAGUGUGAUCCAGAGCACCUACACUCAUUGUUCUGGAAGGAAUAAGCCAAACACCCAACUAUCAUGUAUCCAGACCAAACACUGAACAUUCAAAUUUUGUCCAUCUUAAUGUGUUGACAACUAUUUCUUCACACAACACAUCCUCUCAUUUGCUUAUAAUGGCACCCCACCAGUUUGUGGCAAUAUUUGGAUAUUAAAAUACUAACAUUUCUGAUUUGGGUGAACAGACACUGUUUCCUCUGUACUUAAAAGCCCUCUUCUUGUACCCACAUUACCACUUUCUGGGUGGAGCUUGGCUUAUAAAAGAAGUACCCUAUUUUCACGACUAUAAGGCGCACCUAAAACACUGAGAUUUUCUCAAAUAUCGACGUGGCUUCAAGAAAUCCAGGCUUUUCGAUAGAGACAAGCCCAACAUCCAUCACUGUUUCCACCCCAACUUCAAACAAAACCAACCUGAACUUCUUCCCCUUAUGAGGAGAAGUGCUCAAAAAUGUAGAAUCAAGAUGAAGGAUUACAACAAGAAUCACCUGACAGAGAGGUGGAGGGACCAACGUAAUCUGUAUGCUCACGUUUCAUUUUAGGACGCAUCCUUCAAAUGCCCGACUGCCUUUUCGUCAUGUCUGACCGUGCUUUGUCAGCAAAGGAACCUAGAAUCCUGUGCUCUAAGUACCCCUACCUGUUAAUUUCUAUAGGUACCGUAUUGGCCCGAAUAUAAGACGGUGUUUUUUGCGUUGAAAUAAGACUGAAAAAGUGGGGGUCGUCUUACAUUCGCGGUCUAGACAUUAUACCCAUUCACAACGCUAGAUGGCGCCAGAUAUAUUUAAAGCGAAUGCUGAACUUAACGUCCCAGGCCAAAGCGAACCCCUGUCACGAAGAAGAAAAAUAAAAAUAGCGGUAGCACGAAGAAGAAAAGUAAAAAAAUAGCGGUAAGAAAGAAAAGAGAAGAAAAUAAGAGAAGAGAUAACAGGAAAUAGAGAAAUGUUGCGACAAUUUGGAGAAAAGUGGGUCGAAGAUAUAAUCAUUUGUUUCAGAUGUACUGUAAUUAUUUUCUGUAUAAAAAUUAGAUUUGGUGUUCAAAAAGUCUUUUUUCAAACUUGAGUCUUGAAAAAGAGGGGGUCGUCUUAUAAUCAGGGUCGUCUUAUAUUCGGGCCAAUACGGUAUAACAUUCACUUGUCAAACAAAGUCUUGGGGGUGAGAAGAACCUGUUGGAGGACUGCGGCUUACUUUUCUGAGACAGGGGCGCUCCUUUGAUGGUGUCCAUAUAAUUACCCUGCCGGGUGAGGUAGGGCCACUCCACCUCUCUCUCUGGCCCACGCUCUUUAUCGACGGGGGCAUUGCAAAGGAUGCGCUUCUUAGACUGCUUGUAGGCAAACUCUUCAUUGAUGGCUUUGGCAUAUCCAUCCUGGAUUCUUCUCGCACUCUUGCAAUGGUCUCUCAGAAGACCCUUCUGAAUAUCUUCGGUUUCGUCGAACACCUUCAUUCUGUGACUCAUUUCUUCUCUUUCCUGCUCUCCGCCUCUUUUGGUCUUGCUUUCCCUUUCAUCUGCCACCUUCUGAACGUACUCCUUGAACUGUCCAACUGCUGCCAGCCUCUUCCUCUCCUUUUCCUUUUCCUCAGCCUCUUUGGCAUUUUUCUGAGCGGUCACAGCCUCAAUGUACUGCUUCUCCUGUAGCCUGGCACGAGCGGCAGCCUUCUUCAGCUUGAUGUCUGCCAGCUGUUUGUAGACAAAAUAUUGUGCGGUGCCUGAAUCUUCUCCAUCUUCCUCAUCGCUGAAAUCUUCUUGCGUCUUCAAAUCGUGCCCAUUGAUCUUGUUCCUCACCUUCUUUUGCUUGGCCCAGAAUGCAGCCAGAGAGUUGGUGUGAAGCUUUUUCUGGAGUUCCACUCUCUCUUGCCACUUCUGACCCUCGUCACACUUGAAGUGCAUUUUCUUUUCAUUAAUCAUGUUUUCCAAGUCAUCCCUUUUCUUGCACUUCAGUUUGGAGGCAAUCAUUUCUGCAUUUUCUGCAUCCACUUUGGCCCUCGUCUGUUUCUGCUUUAACAUCCUCACAAAGUUCUUGUCUAAAUUAUGAUAAUGAUUGUGCGAAGGUGAAGGCGGCUCUAUGCACUUUUCCGUGAUGACUUCCUCAAGCACGAUUAGAUCUUUGGGGCGCUGAUCCCUCCAACUUGCCUUCACAGGAGGCAGAUGAAAAGCUGGCGGCUCUUCAGGCUCAGGCUUCCCUCUACGAAGAACAGGUUUAUUUUUGGCUUGAUUUUCUUCAACCACCUUGGGCUUUGUUUGAGCAGUAAAUCUCCUCUGUAAUCUUUCGUUAUUUUGGCGAUUUUGAGGUUUGGACUGCUCAAGAAGCGUCUGAAUAAGUGGCACUGGCUUCUUUGGCUGUUUCAAAGUUUCUUCAGUAAGCAUGAUCUUAUUUUUGCCUUGAGGCGGAGCGCCGAUGUAAAAACGUGGCCUAGAUUCACUGGACUUCUCCUUUUUCUUUUCGUUUAUGUGGUCGAUUAAACUACAUGUUAUAAGUUUUGCUUUGACCCGGAAUUCCAUGAUUGUCG
rnacentral:lncRNA from 1 species